rnacentral:rRNA from 1 species
UACGUAGGGGGCGAGCGUUGUCCGGAUUUAUUGGGCGUAAAGCGCACGCAGGCGGCCCUGCAAGUGGAAGGUUACAAUUCCUGGCUUAACCGGGAAAGCGCCCUCCAAACUACAUGGCUUGAGAGCGAGAGAGGGACAUAGAACUCCGAGUGAAGCAGUGAAAUGCGUAGAUAUUCGGAAGAACACCAAGGCGAAGGCAGUGUCCUGGCUCGUCUCUGACGCUCAGGUGCGAAAGCCAGGGGAGCGAACGGG